UGGGGAAUCUUGCGCAAUGGGCGAAAGCCUGACGCAGCGACGCCGCGUGCGGGAAGAAGGCCUUCGGGUUGUAAACCGCUUUCAGGAGGGACGAAGCCACUCGGGUGAAUAGCCCAGAGGGUGACGGUACUUCCAGAAGAAGCCCCGGCUAACUACGUGCCAGCAGCCGCGGUAAUACGUAGGGGGCUAGCGUUGUCCGGAUUUAUUGGGCGUAAAGAGCGUGUAGGCGGUCAGGUAGGUCGGUUGUGAAAACUGGAGGACUCAACCUUCAGAGGUCGACCGAAACCCCCUGGCUAGAGUCCCGGGAGAGGAGAGUGGAAUUCCUGGUGUAGCGGUGAAAUGCGCAGAUAUCAGGAAGAACACCCGUGGCGAAAGCGGCUCUCUGGAACGGUACUGACGCUGAGACGCGAAAGCGUGGGGAGCGAACAGGAUAGAUACCCUGGUAGUCCACGCCGUAAACGAUGGGCGCUAGGUGUGGGAGGUGUCGACUCC
rnacentral:rRNA from 1 species